CUGUUUGUUGGGAAGCAGAGCUGCAGCGAGGUGUGUCAGGGCACUCACCUUUCUCUGUAACAAACACAGGGCAGCAAGGUGAGGCCAGGGAACCCCCACCUGCCCUGUGCAAACACAGCCGCAAGGGAGAGCCGGGUGGCUGCUGCCACCGCCGCUCCUUUUCAGCCCCGUGUUCAGUUUCUCCAGAGGAGGACGGAAGGAAGCAACAAAUGGGAAGGAAACGGGCCUGCUUGUGAAAUCCAAAACCGGAUCGGCCAACCACAGAGGCAGACUCUCAUCAGGAUAUUUAUGAACACAAGCACAAAUGGGAGGCUGAGGGGAGGCAAAAAAAAAAAAAAAAAAAGAAACAAAAACACCAACAACCACCCAACCCUAUUUCUCAUUCUCUUUCUUCAAAGAGCAGAUGUGCUGUGGCCUGCAAACCGAGAAGGACACUCCCUUGCUGUUAGCUAAUUUAGGCUGACAUGUUAGGGUUUUGUGGUUCGAAACAAGAAGUUUAGUAAUCAGCCACUAACAUUAACCAACACCUCUCACACAACCGCCCGCACUGGGCUCGAGCAUCUUUAUACGUAAUGGGAAGAAGAAAAAAAAAUUUUUUUUUUUUCCUUUUGCAUAAGACAGUGCUGCAGUACUGCUGGCAAGUCCCUGGCCACAGGAGCUGAUCCAGCAGCCUGCUCUCAUGGAUGCCCAAAGAACAGCAGUGGCAAGGAAAAGGCUGUCACAUCACCCUAGUGCUUGCCAAAUGCGUGGUACCCCCACAGAUUCAAAGGAAUAAGUCUUUCUAGCAGGUUUAUAUAAUUUAUAUAAUUUUAAGGGGUCUGGUCUCUCCUUCUAAGCCACUUUCCUGCUUAUUUUCUCUAUUUCUGGCCGUGGUUCAGCAGCUUAUCAGAAGGUGGGCUAGUUCCUCAUUGAAGAUUCAAAUGUGCUUCUCUGCCAAAUUGACCUGCUGUUAUCCCCCCUUUCAACUACUGAAACCAACACCGCACAAACAAUGAAUUAUGAGAUUAGAGUUACAGAAAAAUGGCCUCAUUCUGCAGAUGUUGUGUCUGGAACCGGCUGCUGCGGACUCGUGUUUGUUGUGUCAUCUUCUUCGCUUCCCUCCCCUCCUCCUCCUCUUCACAGUCCCACCUUCACCAGGUGAUGGUGGGCACCAGGGACCAUGUUAUGCAAAGGGUUAAUUAGCAUCUUCCAACUCUAAUACACCUCCCCCAAAAAAGGAGGAAAAAGAGGGGAAAUGGGUGAGAGAGAAAAACAUCAUCGAUAAGAGGAUAGCCAUCGUACAGGCAGACAAGCAAAUAAUUGAACUGAAAUUUAAAAUGCUGUAGCAGAAUUCUUUU
rnacentral:lncRNA from 1 species